rnacentral:rRNA from 1 species
UUAAGCGACUAAGCGUACACGGUGGAUGCCCUGGCAGUCAGAGGCGAUGAAGGACGUGCUAAUCUGCGAUAAGCGUCGGUAAGGUGAUAUGAACCGUUAUAACCGGCGAUUUCCGAAUGGGGAAACCCAGUGUGAUUCGUCACACUAUCAUUAACUGAAUCCAUAGGUUAAUGAGGCGAACCGGGGGAACUGAAACAUCUAAGUACCCCGAGGAAAAGAAAUCAACCGAGAUUCCCCCAGUAGCGGCGAGCGAACGGGGAGCAGCCCAGAGCCUGAAUCAGUGUGUGUGUUAGUGGAAGCGUCUGGAAAGGCGCGCGAUACAGGGUGACAGCCCCGUACACAAAAAUGCACAUGCUGUGAGCUCGAUGAGUAGGGCGGGACACGUGGUAUCCUGUCUGAAUAUGGGGGGACCAUCCUCCAAGGCUAAAUACUCCUGACUGACCGAUAGUGAACCAGUACCGUGAGGGAAAGGCGAAAAGAACCCCGGCGAGGGGAGUGAAAAAGAACCUGAAACCGUGUACGUACAAGCAGUGGGAGCACAGAGCAAUCUGUGUGACUGCGUACCUUUUGUAUAAUGGGUCAGCGACUUAUAUUCUGUAGCAAGGUUAACCGAAUAGGGGAGCCGAAGGGAAACCGAGUCUUAACUGGGCGUUAAGUUGCAGGGUAUAGACCCGAAACCCGGUGAUCUAGCCAUGGGCAGGUUGAAGGUUGGGUAACACUAACUGGAGGACCGAACCGACUAAUGUUGAAAAAUUAGCGGAUGACUUGUGGCUGGGGGUGAAAGGCCAAUCAAACCGGGAGAUAGCUGGUUCUCCCCGAAAGCUAUUUAGGUAGCGCCUCGUGAAUUCAUCUCCGGGGGUAGAGCACUGUUUCGGCAAGGGGGUCAUCCCGACUUACCAACCCGAUGCAAACUGCGAAUACCGGAGAAUGUUAUCACGGGAGACACACGGCGGGUGCUAACGUCCGUCGUGAAGAGGGAAACAACCCAGACCGCCAGCUAAGGUCCCAAAGUCAUGGUUAAGUGGGAAACGAUGUGGGAAGGCCCAGACAGCCAGGAUGUUGGCUUAGAAGCAGCCAUCAUUUAAAGAAAGCGUAAUAGCUCACUGGUCGAGUCGGCCUGCGCGGAAGAUGUAACGGGGCUAAACCAUGCACCGAAGCUGCGGCAGCGACGCUGAUGCGUUGUUGGGUAGGGGAGCGUUCUGUAAGCCUGCGAAGGUGUGCUGUGAGGCAUGCUGGAGGUAUCAGAAGUGCGAAUGCUGACAUAAGUAACGAUAAAGCGGGUGAAAAGCCCGCUCGCCGGAAGACCAAGGGUUCCUGUCCAACGUUAAUCGGGGCAGGGUGAGUCGACCCCUAAGGCGAGGCCGAAAGGCGUAGUCGAUGGGAAACAGGUUAAUAUUCCUGUACUUGGUGUUACUGCGAAGGGGGGACGGAGAAGGCUAUGUUGGCCGGGCGACGGUUGUCCCGGUUUAAGCGUGUAGGCUGGUUUUCCAGGCAAAUCCGGAAAAUCAAGGCUGAGGCGUGAUGACGAGGCACUACGGUGCUGAAGCAACAAAUGCCCUGCUUCCAGGAAAAGCCUCUAAGCAUCAGGUAACAUCAAAUCGUACCCCAAACCGACACAGGUGGUCAGGUAGAGAAUACCAAGGCGCUUGAGAGAACUCGGGUGAAGGAACUAGGCAAAAUGGUGCCGUAACUUCGGGAGAAGGCACGCUGAUAUGUAGGUGAAGUCCCUCGCGGAUGGAGCUGAAAUCAGUCGAAGAUACCAGCUGGCUGCAACUGUUUAUUAAAAACACAGCACUGUGCAAACACGAAAGUGGACGUAUACGGUGUGACGCCUGCCCGGUGCCGGAAGGUUAAUUGAUGGGGUUAGCGCAAGCGAAGCUCUUGAUCGAAGCCCCGGUAAACGGCGGCCGUAACUAUAACGGUCCUAAGGUAGCGAAAUUCCUUGUCGGGUAAGUUCCGACCUGCACGAAUGGCGUAAUGAUGGCCAGGCUGUCUCCACCCGAGACUCAGUGAAAUUGAACUCGCUGUGAAGAUGCAGUGUACCCGCGGCAAGACGGAAAGACCCCGUGAACCUUUACUAUAGCUUGACACUGAACAUUGAGCCUUGAUGUGUAGGAUAGGUGGGAGGCUUUGAAGUGUGGACGCCAGUCUGCAUGGAGCCGACCUUGAAAUACCACCCUUUAAUGUUUGAUGUUCUAACGUGGACCCGUAAUCCGGGUUGCGGACAGUGUCUGGUGGGUAGUUUGACUGGGGCGGUCUCCUCCUAAAGAGUAACGGAGGAGCACGAAGGUUGGCUAAUCCUGGUCGGACAUCAGGAGGUUAGUGCAAUGGCAUAAGCCAGCUUGACUGCGAGCGUGACGGCGCGAGCAGGUGCGAAAGCAGGUCAUAGUGAUCCGGUGGUUCUGAAUGGAAGGGCCAUCGCUCAACGGAUAAAAGGUACUCCGGGGAUAACAGGCUGAUACCGCCCAAGAGUUCAUAUCGACGGCGGUGUUUGGCACCUCGAUGUCGGCUCAUCACAUCCUGGGGCUGAAGUAGGUCCCAAGGGUAUGGCUGUUCGCCAUUUAAAGUGGUACGCGAGCUGGGUUUAGAACGUCGUGAGACAGUUCGGUCCCUAUCUGCCGUGGGCGCUGGAGAAUUGAGGGGGGCUGCUCCUAGUACGAGAGGACCGGAGUGGACGCAUCACUGGUGUUCGGGUUGUCAUGCCAAUGGCACUGCCCGGUAGCUAAAUGCGGAAGAGAUAAGUGCUGAAAGCAUCUAAGCACGAAACUUGCCCCGAGAUGAGUUCUCCCUGACUCCUUGAGAGUCCUGAAGGAACGUUGAAGACGACGACGUUGAUAGGCCGGGUGUGUAAGCGCAGCGAUGCGUUGAGCUAACCGGUACUAAUGAACCGUGAGGCUUAACCUU